rnacentral:rRNA from 1 species
UAACACAUGCAAGUCGAGCGAAGAUUAUAGCAAUGUAAUCUUAGCGGCGGACGGGUGAGUAACGCGUGGGCAACCUACCUCAAACUGGGGGAUAACACAGGGAAACUUGUGCUAAUACCGCAUAACAUCAUGGAAUGACAUCAUUUUAUGAUCAAAGGAGCAAUCCGGUAAGAGAUGGGCCCGCGUCCAAUUAGCUAGUUGGUGGUGUAACGGACCACCAAGGCGACGAUUGGUAGCCGAACUGAGAGGUUGAUCGGCCACAUUGGGACUGAGACACGGCCCAGACUCCUACGGGAGGCAGCAGUGGGGAAUAUUGCGCAAUGGGGGAAACCCUGAACCGCAGCAACGCCGCGUGAAGGAUGAAGGUUUUCGGAUCGUAAACUUCUUUGAUGAGGGACGAAAGCAAUGACGGUACCUCAAAAACAAGCCACGGCUAACUACGUGCCAGCCGCGGC